CUUGGGGUGGGGACCGGGUGAGGGGCCUGACGGCAGAGUCGGUCCAGAACUGCCCGGACAGCGACGCACAGCGAGGGAAACCUGACCUGAAGGACAGAAGAGGAAGGAAGCAGGCUUUGCCACAAAUGUCUGCAGAACUCUGGCUGGCCCCACCAAGAAGACAGCCC